rnacentral:sRNA from 1 species
UAGAUGGUUUGAUAAUUUGUUGGUCUAGC